rnacentral:rRNA from 1 species
GUAUAUUUCUUCGGAGAUAGAGACCGCGCGCACGGGUGCGUAACGCGUAUGCAAUCUACCUUUCACAGAGGGAUAGCCCAGAGAAAUUUGGAUUAAUACCUCAUAGUAUAGUGAUACCGCAUGGUACUACUAUUAAAGUCACAACGGUGAAAGAUGAGCAUGCGUCCCAUUAGCUAGUUGGUAAGGUAACGGCUUACCAAGGCUACGAUGGGUAGGGGUCCUGAGAGGGAGAUCCCCCACACUGGUACUGAGACACGGACCAGACUCCUACGGGAGGCAGCAGUGAGGAAUAUUGGACAAUGGGCGCAAGCCUGAUCCAGCCAUGCCGCGUGCAGGAUGACGGUCCUAUGGAUUGUAAACUGCUUUUGCACAGGAAGAAACAACUCUACGUGUAGAGUCUUGACGGUACUGUGAGAAUAAGGAUCGGCUAACUCCGUGCCAGCAGCCGCGGUAAUACGGAGGAUCCAAGCGUUAUCCGGAAUCAUUGGGUUUAAAGGGUCCGUAGGCGGUUUAGUAAGUCAGUGGUGAAAGCCCAUCGCUCAACGGUGGAACGGCCAUUGAUACUGCUAGACUUGAAUUAUUAGGAAGUAACUAGAAUAUGUAGUGUAGCGGUGAAAUGCUUAGAGAUUACAUGGAAUACCAAUUGCGAAGGCAGGUUACUACUAAUNGAUUGACGCUGAUGGACGAAAGCGUGGGUAGCGAACAGGAUUAGAUACCCUGGUAGUCCACGCCGUAAACGAUGGAUACUAGCUGUUGGGAGCGAUCUCAGUGGCUAAGCGAAAGUGAUAAGUAUCCCCCUGGGGAGUACGUUCGCAGANUGAACUCAAGGAUUGACGGGGCCCNCCANCGGNGANCNUGNGNUUAUUCNAGNACCCGAG